GCCGGCAUAGCUCAGUUGGUAGAGCGCCAAUUUUGUAAAUUGGAUGUCGUGGGUUCGAUCCCCUCUGCCGGCU
rnacentral:tRNA from 1 species